rnacentral:rRNA from 1 species
UUGCUCCACCGGAAAAAGAAGAGUGGCGAACGGGUGAGUAACACGUGGGUAACCUGCCCAUCAGAAGGGGAUAACACUUGGAAACAGGUGCUAAUACCGUAUAACAAUCGAAACCGCAUGGUUUUGAUUUGAAAGGCGCUUUCGGGUGUCGCUGAUGGAUGGACCCGCGGUGCAUUAGCUAGUUGGUGAGGUAACGGCUCACCAAGGCCACGAUGCAUAGCCGACCUGAGAGGGUGAUCGGCCACAUUGGGACUGAGACACGGCCCAAACUCCUACGGGAGGCAGCAGUAGGGAAUCUUCGGCAAUGGACGAAAGUCUGACCGAGCAACGCCGCGUGAGUGAAGAAGGUUUUCGGAUCGUAAAACUCUGUUGUUAGAGAAGAACAAGGAUGAGAGUAACUGUUCAUCCCUUGACGGUAUCUAACCAGAAAGCCACGGCUAACUACGUGCCAGCAGCCGCGGUAAUACGUAGGUGGCAAGCGUUGUCCGGAUUUAUUGGGCGUAAAGCGAGCGCAGGCGGUUUCUUAAGUCUGAUGUGAAAGCCCCCGGCUCAACCGGGGAGGGUCAUUGGAAACUGGGAGACUUGAGUGCAGAAGAGGAGAGUGGAAUUCCAUGUGUAGCGGUGAAAUGCGUAGAUAUAUGGAGGAACACCAGUGGCGAAGGCGGCUCUCUGGUCUGUAACUGACGCUGAGGCUCGAAAGCGUGGGGGAGCAAACAGGAUUAGAUACCCUGGUAGUCCACGCCGUAAACGAUGAGUGCUAAGUGUUGGAGGGUUUCCGCCCUUCAGUGCUGCAGCUAACGCAUUAAGCACUCCGCCUGGGGAGUACGACCGCAAGGUUGAAACUCAAAGGAAUUGACGGGGGCCCGCACAAGCGGUGGAGCAUGUGGUUUAAUUCGAAGCAACGCGAAGAACCUUACCAGGUCUUGACAUCCUUUGACCACUCUAGAGAUAGAGCUUCCCCUUCGGGGGCAAAGUGACAGGUGGUGCAUGGUUGUCGUCAGCUCGUGUCGUGAGAUGUUGGGUUAAGUCCCGCAACGAGCGCAACCCUUAUUGUUAGUUGCCAUCAUUCAGUUGGGCACUCUAGCAAGACUGCCGGUGACAAACCGGAGGAAGGUGGGGAUGACGUCAAAUCAUCAUGCCCCUUAUGACCUGGGCUACACACGUGCUACAAUGGGAAGUACAACGAGUUGCGAAGUCGCGAGGCUAAGCUAAUCUCUUAAAGCUUCUCUCAGUUCGGAUUGCAGGCUGCAACUCGCCUGCAUGAAGCCGGAAUCGCU